UGUUUGUGAUGUUCAUGUUGAUAGUCAAUUGUCACUGAAAGAAGAUUCACAAUACGAUGCUUUAGUUACUGCCAUAGUGCCACAUGUUGUGAAGUACAAGAAAAAGGGGGAAGUGGCUUUGCGUGUGCCUAGGAGGACAAAUGAUCAAGAGGCAAGUUUUCAACAGAGUUACGCCAGUGUUAGUGGCGAGAAGGCUAGGAGUAAUCGUCUCGCCAAGCUUGUUGAUCAUCUACGUAAAUCUGAUGAGAACGUUGACGAGAUGGAGAUUCACCUUGUGCUUAUCUCUUUGGAUGAGCAAA
rnacentral:sRNA from 1 species